rnacentral:rRNA from 1 species
GACGAACGCUGGCGGCGUGCUUAACACAUGCAAGUCGAACGGUGAACCUCUUAGGAGGGGAUCAGUGGCGAACGGGGGGGUAACACGUGGGCAACCAGACCCCGGCCCUGGGAUAACUGCAAGAAAUUGGGGCUAAUACCGGAUGUUCACCGCUUCCCGCAUGGGUGGUGGUGGAAAGGGUUUCCGGCUGGGGAUGGGCCCGCGGCCUAUCAGCUGGUUGGGCGGGUAGGGGCCUACGAAGGCGACGACGGGUAGCCGGCCUGGGAGGGUGACCGGCCACACUGGUCCUGCGGCAGGGCGCAGACGCCUACGGGAGGCAGCAGUGGGGAACAUGGCGCAAUGGGCGCGAGCCGGACGCAGCGGCGCCGCGUGGGUGGUGCCGGUCUGUGGGUUGUAAACCUCUUCCGGCUGGGACGAAGCGGAUGUGACGGUACCUGCAGAAGAAGCACCGGCUAACUACGUG